UUUAAUUGUUGUCUAACACGUCAUCGAAUGGAAAUGUUUCGAAAUUUAGCUUCCACUUCUCAUUUGUAGGUUCAUUGUGUUGAACGACUUCAUCUAAAAGUUUAAACUAUUAGAAAGUGGAGCCAUUUAUAUAUUUAUUAGAUAGUCUUCAACACCGCCCCUCAUGUAGGUUGGCGUUGUUAUUUAUCAAAUAUUUGACACAUGCUCAAUCUUCAUAAAUGGGUGAUAGUGAGAUUUGAAGACAAAACCUAUGUAUGCUCUGAAUACUGUAGAACCACUUCAUUCAAAAGCUUAAGCUAUUAGAGAGGGUUCACAUUUAUAUUUAAUUGUUGAAAAACAUGAUUUAUGAGUGUAAUUUCUUGAAAUUUUGACUUCUGAAUCUCAAUUUUAGGUUCAUUGUACCAAUGAAAAACGGGGAUCUUGAUAGUAGAGGGCUUCUUUCUGCUCUUAUCCGUUCAGAAGGAACCAUAGAAUCAUUCAAGGUAUGAUUUUGCAACUUUUUGCUGAAAGCAGGUGGUUGUGAAUAGAUUGUAAAGGCAAAAGGUUGUGGCAUAUCACAUUUCCUGAGGUAGAGCCCAAGUCACAAGUUAAAGGACACUUUACCCAUGAACUUUAAAAAUUGAUUUUAUAAGAAUAAAAUUGCUUGCAGCUUUUGUUGGAAGGAUUAACGGAACAUAUUCAUAUCUGAAUCCUCCUAAAUGGUGUUGACCUGAUUCUUGUUUAGUUUAAGAGUGAUGAGCAUAAAAAUUUCAUUGCCGAAUUAAAAUGAUCGAAUAAAUAAUGGAAUUAUCUGAAUUUCAUCUGCUUUAUUUGAUAUAAUGUGAAAUCGCGCCUUCUAAAAGCUUAAGCUAAGGGUAUAAAUAAUGGACUUGUAUAUCUUACAAUAUUGCGUAGGUGUUCAAACUGGCCUCUAGAAGAAAGGGAUAUAGUUUACAUGUUUAAAUUAUCACUACCUGUAUUGGUUUUUAGUAAGCCUCUACUUCCNNNN
rnacentral:lncRNA from 1 species